UACGAAGGGGCUAGCGUUGCUCGGAAUCACUGGGCUUAAAGGGCGCGUAGGCGGCUUGCCAAGUCAGUGGUGAAAUCCUGCAGCUUAACUGCAGAAGUGCCUUUGAUACUGGCGAGCUCGAGGGAGGUAGGGGUAUGUGGAAACUUCUGGUGGAGCGGUGAAAUGCGUUGAUAUCAAGAAGGAACGCCGGUGGCGAAAGCGACGUACUGGACCUCUUCUGAACGCUGGAGGCGACGAAAGCUAGGGGAGCAAACGGG
rnacentral:rRNA from 1 species